AUUUCUGUGAGCAGUCCACCCAUUAUUUUUGAGUGCAACCAAAGAAAAUGGAAUCUAGGUGUAAUCAUUUACCUCCAGUAAAAUCAACACUAAUUAAUUUGGUCCACACAUUGAAUUAUGUAGUUACAAAGUUAGAGGAGAAAAUAAUUCCGAAAAUUAAUCUAAAAAUCAAGUUUACCAGUCUUCUACCCAUAUCUCUCUCCCUGGCCUAGUUUCCAUCGAGUUGGCCCCACUUGUCAGUGCCUUAGGCUAGGUUCAGCCCUGUCCAACACUUCCUCCUUCUACACCUCUCUCUUGCCUAGUGGGACCCCAUUGUCAGCCUCACAUCCCUCUCCACACGGGCCCACGACUCAGACCCCGCGCGCCACGCGUGUGAGCACGCGUUGAGCGCGGAAGAGGGCGAGCUCCUCCUCCCCAUCUCCGCCGGCGACCGUACUUAACCCGACCGGCCGACCAACUCUCACUCUCUCUCGCCCCUGUCUCGUUUCGCGGAAGAACCGAGGUACCCCGCCUCAGAUUCGCCGGGAACGGGGGUGCCAACUCCGGCGCCGGUGAGAUAAGUCCUCGACGCCGUCGAAAUCCGUGCAGCCAAUCUCCGGGAACGCGACCGCGUCAACUCGGAACACCGUCGUGCUCUGGCCGCCGCCGCCAUUCCUUUCUUUCUCCUUCUCUGUAGAAGCCCGGGAGUACACCGUCGACGACGACCGUAGCAGUUGCGCCGUCGCCGAACCAGUACACCGUCGCCAAGACUUCGCCGAGCCGCGUUUGAUUCUUGAUAAUUGCAUAAUCGGUGAAGGAGUGGAUUAGGUGCUAACAAUUCUCUG